rnacentral:rRNA from 1 species
UACGUAGGGUCCGAGCGUUGUCCGGAAUUACUGGGCGUAAAGAGCUCGUAGGUGGUUUGUCGCGUUGUUCGUGAAAACUCACAGCUCAACUGUGGGCGUGCGGGCGAUACGGGCAGACUGGAGUACUGCAGGGGAGACUGGAAUUCCUGGUGUAGCGGUGGAAUGCGCAGAUAUCAGGAGGAACACCGGUGGCGAAGGCGGGUCUCUGGGCCGAUAUUGACGCUGAGGAGCGAAAGCGUGGGGAGCGAACAGG